AGAGUUUGAUCCUGGCUCAGAACGUACGCUGGCGGCACGCCUAACACAUGCAAGUCGAACGAAGUAGCAAUACUUAGUGGCAGACGGGUGAGUAACAUGUAGGUAUCUGCCCUUUGGCCUGGAAUAACACGAGGAAACUUGUGCUAAUACUGGAUAAGUCUUUACGGAGAAAGCUUUAUGCACCAUUGGAUGAGCCCGCACUUGAUUAGUUUGUUGGUAGGGUAAUGGCCUACCAAGACUGUGAUCAAUAGCUGAUUUGAGAGGAUGAUCAGCCACAUUGGGACUGAGACACGGCCCAAACUCCUACGGGAGGCAGCAGUGGGGAAUCUUGCACAAUGGAGGAAACUCUGAUGCAGCGAUGCCGCGUGAGUGAAGAAGGCCCUUGGGUUGUAAAGCUCUUUCGUCGGGGAAGAAAAUGACUGUACCCGAAUAAGAAGGUCCGGCUAACUUCGUGCCAGCAGCCGCGGUAAUACGAAGGGACCUAGCGUAGUUCGGAAUUACUGGGCUUAAAGAGUUCGUAGGUGGUUGAAAAAGUUGGUGGUGAAAUCCCAGAGCUUAACUCUGGAACUGCCAUCAAAACUUUUCAGCUAGAGUUUGAUAGAGGAAAGCAGAGUUUCUAGUGUAGAGGUGAAAUUCGUAGAUAUUAGAAAGAAUACCAAUUGCGAAGGCAGCUUUCUGGAUCAUUACUGACACUGAGGAACGAAAGCAUGGGUAGCGAAGAGGAUUAGAUACCCUCGUAGUCCAUGCCGUAAACGAUGUGUGUUAGACGUUGGAAAUUUAUUUUCAGUGUCGCAGCGAAAGCGAUAAACACACCGCCUGGGGAGUACGACCGCAAGGUUAAAACUCAAAUGAAUUGACGGGGACCCGCACAAGUAGUGGAGCAUGUGGUUUAAUUCGAAGAUACGCGCAGAACCUUACCAACACUUGACAUGUUCGUCGCGACUUUAAGAGAUUAAAGUUUUCGGUUCGGCCGGACGAAACACAGGUGCUGCAUGGCUGUCGUCAGCUCGUGUCGUGAGAUGUUGGGUUAAGUCCCGCAACGAGCGCAACCCUCACUUUUAGUUGCCAUCAUUUAGUUGGGCACUCUGAAAGAACUGCCAGUGAUAAGCUGGAGGAAGGUGGGGAUGACGUCAAGUCCUCAUGGCCCUUACGUGUUGGGCUACACACGUGCUACAAUGGUAUUUACAACAGGAAGCAAGACGGCGACGUUAAGCAAAUCCUUAAAAGAUACCUCAGUUCGGAUUGCACUCUGCAACUCGAGUGCAUGAAGCUGGAAUUACUAGUAAUCGUGGAUCAGCGUGCCACGGUGAAUGCGUUCCCGGGUCUUGUACACACCGCCCGUCACACCAUGGGAGUUGGUUCUACCUUAAGGCAAGGUUUAAUACCCUUGACCACGGUAUAGUCAGCGACUGGGGUGAAGUCGUAACAAGGUAACC
rnacentral:rRNA from 1 species